rnacentral:misc_RNA from 1 species
GAUGAAGAACGCAGCGAAAUGCGAUACUUGGUGUGAUUUGCAGAAUCCCGUGAACCAUCGAGUCUUUGAACGCAAGUUGCGCCUCAAGCCAUUAGGUUGAGGGCACGUCUGCCUGGGCGUCACAUAUCGUUGCCUGAUGCCAGUUUCCUCGUGAUGGGUGACUGUGCAGGGCGAAUGAUGGCUUCCCGUGAGCAUUGUUGCCUCAUGGUUGGUUGAAAAUUGAGUCCUUGGUAGGGAGCGCCGUGAUAGAUGGUGGUUGAGUGACGAACGAGACCCAAUCAUGUGAGACCCCUACCGAAUUAGGCCUUCAUGACCCACAUGCGUCUUUGGAACGCUCAUGACGAGACCUCAGGUCAGGCGGGGCUACCCGCUGAGUUUAAGCAUAUCAAUAAGCGGAGGA